rnacentral:rRNA from 1 species
CGGGUGGUAAUGCCGGAUGCUCCAGUUGAUCGCAUGGUCUUCUGGGAAAGCUUUCGCGGUAUGGGAUGGGGUCGCGUCCUAUCAGCUUGACGGCGGGGUAACGGCCCACCGUGGCUUCGACGGGUAGCCGGCCUGAGAGGGCGACCGGCCACAUUGGGACUGAGAUACGGCCCAGACUCCUACGGGAGGCAGCAGUGGGGAAUAUUGCACAAUGGGCGCAAGCCUGAUGCAGCGACGCCGCGUGAGGGAUGGAGGCCUUCGGGUUGUAAACCUCUUUUAUCGGGGAGCAAGCGAGAGUGAGUUUACCCGUUGAAUAAGCACCGGCUAACUACGUGCCAGCAGCCGCGGUAAUACGUAGGGUGCAAGCGUUAUCCGGAAUUAUUGGGCGUAAAGGGCUCGUAGGCGGUUCGUCGCGUCCGGUGUGAAAGUCCAUCGCUUAACGGUGGAUCCGCGCCGGGUACGGGCGGGCUUGAGUGCGGUAGGGGAGACUGGAAUUCCCGGUGUAACGGUGGAAUGUGUAGAUAUCGGAAAAAAACACCA